UUCUGGUUGAUCCUGCCGGACCUGAUUGCUAUCGGAUUGAUACUAAGCCAUGCGAGUCUUUGUAGUAAUACAAGGCAUACGGCUCAGUAACGCGUAGUCAACCUACCCUAUGGACAAGAAUAAUCUCGGGAAACUGAGCAUAAUUCUUGAUAGAUCAUAAUGCCUGGAAUGGUUUAUGGUUAAAAUGAUUCGUCGCCAUAGGAUGGGACUGCGGCCUAUCAGCUUGUUGGUGAGGUAAUGGCCCACCAAGGCGAUUACAGGUACGGGCUCUGAGAGGAGAAGCCCGGAGAUGGGUACUGAGACAAGGACCCAGGCCCUAUGGGGCGCAGCAGGCGAGAAAACUUUGCAAUGUGCGAAAGCACGACAAGGUUAAUCCGAGUGAUUUCUGCUAAAGAAAUCUUUUGCAAGUCAUAAAACCACUAGUGAAUAAGGGGUGGGCAAGUUCUGGUGUCAGCCGCCGCG
rnacentral:rRNA from 1 species